rnacentral:rRNA from 1 species
CGUAUACUAAAGUUGUUGCAGUUAAAAAGCUCGUAGUUGAAUUUCUGGAUGUGAAAGGUGGUCGGCACCUCACGGUGUCUGUACUUAUCAUUCGCGUCCAUCCUCGGGAGGAACAUGUGGACACUUAAGUGGGUCUGCUUGGGAAUCCCGUCAUUUACUGUGAGCAAAAUAGAGUGUUCAAAGCAGGCUUAUGCCGUUGAAUAUAUUAGCAUGGAAUAAUAAGAUACGACUUCGGUCUAUUUUGUUGGUUUGCAUUCCGAAGUAAUGAUUAAUAGGGAUAGUUGGGGGUAUUCGUAUUCAAUUGUCAGAGGUGAAAUUCUUGGAUUUAUGGAAGACGAACUACUGCGAAAGCAUUUACCAAGGAUGUUUUCAUUAAUCAAGAACGAAAGUUAGGGGAUCGAAGAUGAUUAGAUACCAUCGUAGUCUUAACCAUAAACUAUGCCGACUAGGGAUUGGUCUUGUUUGUUAUGACUGGAUCAGCACCUUAUGAGAAAUCAAAGUCUUUGGGUUCCGGGGGGAGUAUGGUCGCAAGGCUGAAACUUA